AGAGUUUGAUCAUGGCUCAGGAUGAACGCUAGCGGCAGGCUUAAUACAUGCAAGUCGUGGGGCAGCAGGGGUGUAGCAAUACACUCGCUGGCGACCGGCAAACGGGUGCGGGACACGUACGCAACCUACCCAAAACUGGGGGAUAGCCCGGGGAAACCCGGAUUAAUACCUCGUAACAUAAUGAAGUGGCAUCACUUUAUUAUUAUAGCUCCGGCGGUUUUGGAUGGGCGUGCGCCUGAUUAGGUAGUUGGCGGGGUAACGGCCCACCAAGCCUACGAUCGGUAACUGGUGUGAGAGCACGACCAGUCACACGGGCACUGAGACACGGGCCCGACUCCUACGGGAGGCAGCAGUAAGGAAUAUUGGUCAAUGGACGCAAGUCUGAACCAGCCAUGCCGCGUGAAGGAUGAAGGUCCUCUGGAUUGUAAACUUCUUUUAUAUGGGACGAAACCCUCGGAUUCUUCCGGGAUUGACGGUACCAUAGGAAUAAGCACCGGCUAACUCCGUGCCAGCAGCCGCGGUAAUACGGAGGGUGCAAGCGUUAUCCGGGAUUCACUGGGGUUUAAAGGGUGCGUAGGAGGAUAGGUAAGUCAGUGGUGAAAUCCCCGAGCUUAACUUGGGAACU
rnacentral:rRNA from 1 species